rnacentral:pre_miRNA from 1 species
AAUUUGAGGUUUCCUCGGUAGUUAACUGCAGCCGAUUCCAUAAUUCGGCAGUUAACUGCCGAAGGGCAU